rnacentral:antisense_RNA from 1 species
GUGCACGACCUCGACCAGCUGGUCGCCUGAUCUCGUUUAGCAGGGCAGGAGCCUGUGUUCCCAUUUCUUAGUAGCUGGGCUGUCGGUGACCUAGCUCAGCCUUGGUUUUCCUCCGGUUGAACUGAAGCUGGCAAGAGCUGCCUCCCGGAUCGCAGUGAGGACUCUAAGGGAACGAGGGCGAGCGCGCUUUGGAAAGCCAGUUGCUGAGCAGAUGGUAAGGGAUCACUUCCAAGAGCCAGGGCUAGUUUCAUUUCAGUCUUGGACACGAGAUGGUCUCAAUGCCUUCAUUAAUGAGCAUUCUCCUUAGAAGUCUGGAGAAGUGACCCAAGAAGAAGGACCAACAAUUCAGGCUCAGGAAAGCCCACAACUCCACAGAGGAACCAGGACUGCAUGGCUUCGAAUCCCAGCCCCCCCACCCUCAGGAAACAUUCCUCCCCAAACAACAUGGAUUUUUGGACGCCUCCACCUUGAGACAGCUACUUCAGCCAGAACGUGGGACAGGCACUAACAGGAUAUCACCCUUGGGGAUAAACACGCUCCAGUUUCCUGUGGACGGUGGAAGAGGAA